UACGUAGGGUGCGAGCGUUAAUCGGAAUUACUGGGCGUAAAGCGUGCGCAGGCGGUUUGUUAAGUCUGAUGUGAAAGCCCCGGGCUCAACCUGGGAAUGGCAUUGGAAACUGGCAAGCUUGAGUAUGGCAGAGGGGGGUGGAAUUCCACGUGUAGCAGUGAAAUGCGUAGAGAUGUGGAGGAACACCGAUGGCGAAGGCAGCCCCCUGGGCCUGCACUGACGCUCAUGCACGAAAGCGUGGGGAGCAAACAGG
rnacentral:rRNA from 1 species